rnacentral:siRNA from 1 species
UUACAGGUGCUGCCGCUG